rnacentral:rRNA from 1 species
UACGUAGGGAGCGAGCGUUAUCCGGAUUUAUUGGGCGUAAAGCGUGUGUAGGCGGUUAAUUAAGUCUAAAAUUAAAACCUGAGGCUCAACCUCAGUUCGUUUUAGAAACUGAUUAGCUUGAGUAUAGUAGAGGCAAGUGGAAUUUCUAGUGUAGCGGUAAAAUGUGUAGAUAUUAGAAGGAACACCAGUGGCGAAGGCGACUUGCUGGACUAUCACUGACGCUGAGGCACGAAAGCGUGGGGAGCAAAUAGG